rnacentral:sRNA from 1 species
CUCCACUGCGGCUCAUACCAAAUGCCUGACCAAAUGCUGCAACGCUUUGCCCAGGCAAUAAAACCCAAAAAAGGCCAAACAAAUCAGCCCAGCUUAUUCAUGUGUGUGUGAGGGUGCAUUAGAGUGUGACCUUGUGUAUGUGUGUGUGCACGCCUGAAGUGUAAGUUGCCAGCGAGCCGGCAGAAAGCAGAGCCACAACGUUGUCGGCCGGAAGCGGAAACUCGCGCGCACACACACACACACACACACACAAGAGGAGCGUACACAAAAACACACACACACACUGACGCCCACGGCAGCAAAAAAUAAAACCCUGCAAAGACUCGUGAAUUUUUCAAGCAGACUCAAGUUUCGCAAACAACAGAGGGAGAAAAAAUACAAAAAGUUAAAGCUGGUGUCAGGCUUAAUUGCAAACAAUUUCAAUGGCCUAAGUGUCUGCCACGUCCUAAGCAACUAUUGGCUAAAAUUGUCUUGACUUUCAUUUCUUAUACUGCAUGAGAAAAACUUUGUAUGAGCUAUUCAAUUACGCUUAGCAAAGCAAUGAGUGCAAUUAAGUGAAAUUAUGUAUGGUGCGAGUUAAGUGCAAAUGACUUGGAGAUAUUCCCAAGCAGACGGUGAGAAAAUUUAGUGCGCAUGAAAAUGCGGAAGAGGAGGUGCUUGAAGUGUAGAUAAAAAGAGGUGUUAAUUGGAGCAACUAGCUAGAGGAGAGAAAAAAAAAGGAGAGCGCUGGAGAAGGAGCAACUAGUUGCACU